UACGGGGGGGGCAAGCGUUGUUCGGAAUUACUGGGCGUAAAGGGCUCGUAGGCGGCCAACUAAGUCGGACGUGAAAUCCCUCGGCUUAACCGGGGAACUGCGUCCGAUACUGGAUGGCUUGAGUUUGGGAGAGGGAUGCGGAAUUCCCGGUGUAGCGGUGAAAUGCGUAGAUAUCCGGAGGAACACCGGUGGCGAAGGCGGCUUCCUGGACCGACACUGACGCUGAGGCGCGAAAGCUAGGGGAGCAAACGGG
rnacentral:rRNA from 1 species